rnacentral:snRNA from 1 species
CCGGAUGUGUUCUGGGAACUCGG